rnacentral:rRNA from 1 species
CGUAGGGGGCAAGCGUUGUCCGGAAUCAUUGGGCGUAAAGAGCGUGUAGGCGGCCCGGUAAGUCCGCUGUGAAAGUCCAGGGCUCAACCCUGGGAUGCCGGUGGAUACUGUCGGGCUCGAGUCCGGAAGAGGAGUGUGGAAUUCCUGGUGUAGCGGUGAAAUGCGCAGAUAUCAGGAGGAACACCAAUGGCGAAGGCAGCACUCUGGGACGUGACUGACGCUGAGACGCGAAAGCGUGGGGAGCAAACAGGAUUAGAUACCCUGGUAGUCCACGCUGUAAACGAUGGGCACUAGGUGUGGGGGGUGUCGACUCCCUCCGUGCCGAAGCUAACGCAUUAAGUGCCCCGCCUGGGGAGUACGGCCGCAAGGCUA